CACCACUGAUCUCUACUACAGGGUAUGGACAGCACAUCGAGCGCCCUCGACUGAAGCCAACCUUGUCGCGGAAGCUGGUGCUUCACAACUUUGCAGUAGCACUUCGUUUGCACGGCCUGUGGAGACAAGGUUUCUUAGACAUGGCCAUGGCCCUCAAGGAAGAUGCCGAGGCCACAGGCAGUUCCUCCAGUGACCGUGAAAAGGUGCCCUGGGGCACAAGUCUAAUCUGGCAUCCCCACCUUUCUCCUGCAGCUUUUCUGUCUACUUAGCUAACCAGCAGCAAGUUUAUCCUUGCAAGCGUUUGGGGUCAAGAGCAACUUUCACCAGGAAAAA
rnacentral:lncRNA from 1 species